UUUAAAAUUAGUUAAACAUCAGUUAAUAAAAAAAUACAGUGUGUGAUUAAGACCGCACGGCAGGAGGGAAAACUUAAUUGGCAAUCGCAAU